rnacentral:sRNA from 1 species
AUCUGUGUCACCCAGAGGUGGUUUUAGGUUUUAAAUUCUGUAUUAACGGUUGUUUUCUUUCCAGACUGCAAAAUUCAAAAUGGGGCUCAAGGUAUUCGUUUCAUCUACACCAGAGAAGGCAGACCAAGUGGCGAGGCUUUUGUUGAACUUGAAUCAGAAGAUGAAGUCAAAUUGGCCCUGAAAAAAGACAGAGAAACUAUGGGACACAGAUAUGUUGAAGUAUUCAAGUCAAACAACGUUGAAAUGGAUUGGGUGUUGAAGCAUACUGGUCCAAAUAGUCCUGACACGGCCAAUGAUGGCUUUGUACGGCUUAGAGGACUUCCCUUUGGAUGUAGCAAGGAAGAAAUUGUUCAGUUCUUCUCAGGUAUAUUGAAAUCUUUAAGAGCAGUAGAGCUGAAGUUAGAACUCACUAUGAUCCACCACGAAAGCUUAUGGCCAUGCAGCGGCCAGGUCCCUAUGACAGACCUGGGGCUGGCAGAGGGUAUAACAGCAUUGGCAGAGGAGCUGGCUUUGAGAGGAUGAGGCGU